CAAUCACUUGAUGAGAGAGAAACUGCAACAAUAUGAUGGAUACGUCCCAUGAUUCGUUGUAUUUAAGUCUCUGAUGAUG
rfam:Vitis vinifera, whole genome shotgun sequence of line PN40024, unoriented chromosome 14, chr14